GUGCCAGCAGCCGCGGUAAUACGUAGGGCGCAAGCGUUGCUCGGAAUCACUGGGCGUAAAGGGUGCGUAGGCGGGUUUUUAAGUCAGGGGUGAAAUCCUGGAGCUCAACUCCAGAACUGCCUUUGAUACUGAAGAUCUUGAGUCCGGGAGAGGUGAGUGGAACUGCGAGUGUAGAGGUGAAAUUCGUAGAUAUUGGGAAGAACACCGGUGGCGAAGGCGGCUCACUGGCCCGAAACUGACGCUCAUGCACGACAGCGUGGGGAUCAAACAGGAUUAGAAACCCUUGUAGUCC
rnacentral:rRNA from 1 species